UAGCAUAAUGCCUUCAAGGUGUAUCCGUGUUACUCCAAUACCACGUGAUUUCUACUGAGCAGCCCGAGUUGAGAACCACUAGGGUCUUUAUAUAAUAAGGAAAGUAGACCUCUACUAAAAUAAAGACUACUAAAAUUCCCAAUAAUAGUGCUUGAUGACGCACUUAUUCAAGAACUUUAAUUAAAUGGAACGAGUUGAAUGAAUGAUCUAAUGAACAUAAUGCUCUUUAGAAGAACUUGAAGUCUGACUUCAUCUAGCUGGAGAACACUUAAUUGUCCCAGGAGGCUCAUUCAAGCAUUGACCUAUCACGAGCCCUCUGAGGAAGACACAAUCAUUAUUCAAAUCUUCCAGAUGAGAAAAGGAAUUCCAGAGAAGUUGAAUUGUUCAAGGUGACAUGGAGGAUCACCAUUUAUUGAUCACCUUUCGAUGUCUGGCCCAGCCUCUUCUUAUAAGGGAGAAUGCAAGUAAAAAGGAGGUCGAGUUGUCUAGGAAAAAUGGUCAUCAUGAUCUCAAGGAAUCUUACUGCCUCUUCCACACCCAAGAUGGAGCCAGCACCCCCAGGAAGGGGCUAGGCAUCGAUGGGGAAGUAGGGAGAGAAAGGAGACUACAGAGGGAAGGGAUUCCCAGGCUCCCACUCAAGACUGACUUGCAUAUUUUAGGUUUGCUACAUCUAAUGAGGAGAUUGAAACACCUCCAAAUAUGAGUUGUAUGAGAAGAACCAAGAAGGACAUUUAGGCUGUAAUUUUGAGUGUAAGAACCUUGAUAUGAUGUCACAGCAUUGCUAGGGAAACAAAAAAUGAGGGUUCUAAAAUAAGUACUUUUCCAUUGGAGCUGACCUAGAAAGAGACUCUUGAUGUUUGAUGAAACUGUGGACAAAAAAAUACCCUCAAUAGUUGGAGCAUCUGUCUGUGCAGUGAUAUUGUACCACAGUCAAUGUUUAUUGUUCUUCUGAAUUGGACACAUCCACGAUGUGGGAGUUCUUUUUCACAAAGGCAGCUUGCAUUAGAAACUUCCAGAUAAAUGCAGAAGAAUCUCCUGACCACUGAAAAGACAAAUGGUUUUUACUACAAAGCUGCAGCCAACACCGACACGUCUUGUCUCCUGUACACAGCUGCAUUCUGAUACUGUGGUAGAUCCGGGCAAGGGAAUAUAUUUCAGUGCUGAAAAGAAAUGUGCUGUCAAAUCCUGAGAAGACAUGGAAAAACCAGAUGAAAACUGUGGACCAUCUCUUCAGAAAGAUGCCCUUCCAUGUGUGACACACCCACUGACAUCCCUCCAGGCCUGCAGGGUAAGAAGCCUGCCUGACAGUGGACAGCAGCGGUUCUCAACCCUUGUCCACAUCAUGGCAUCUGGAAAACAGGGACAUGUUUUUAGCACAGUGGGGUAAAUCAAAGCGGGUUUGGAGGCAACUAUACAACACUUAGUGAAAACAUUUAUUUUGUUUAUAUCAUAUCAUUAUAAUAAGAUAAAUAUAAUACAAAUAUUAUAAAUGCUAUAACAGAUUGAGUUUUUCUAAGCUUCCAAAUGAAAACUUCUCAAAAAUUAAAAACAAACAUGGAGCAAAUUUAAUUGCAUAUUCCUAAGAGAGACAAGCUAAUCCAAAAAGAUGUCACAUGUAUGAUUCCAACUGUGGGACAUUCUUGGAAUGACAAAACUAUAGAGACAGUUUCCUUGUGGCUGUCAGCUGGGGGCUGCCCUGAGCCUCGAGAAACCUCCCUCUGGUCCUUGCCCUGCCUGCCUGCAUCUCAGAGAUGGGAAAGUCAAGACAAAUCCUUCUCAUUCUGGAAUCUCUCUGGCUCUCUGUCUGCUGCAUCUCUCCUCUGCUUCCAGCCUGAGAAAGUUCUCUACUUUGAAGGGCUCAUGUGACUAGAUGGGGCCCACCCAGAUGAUCCGGGAUAAUCUUCCUGUCUUCAGGUCCAUAACCUUCAUUAUCCAUCUGCAGUCUCUUUGGCAUUUAAGAGAACAUAUACACAGGUCCCCGGGAUUAGGACCUGGCUGUCUCUAGGGCAGCGUGAAGGACAUUAUUCUGCCUCCACCUGCAAUGUGUCUGAAGUUAGCAACAAGGAAUGGUGGUUGCAUAGCCAAGCACAAGACCCUGCACCCUGGGAUGGUCUCGCUUGAGCGGAAUAGGAUUAUCGAGAGAAAAAAUUCGUCAGAUUUGCUUGAACAAUAAGGAAAACCGAAUUAUACCAAAUCUGUAACUUUUUUCCCCCUGAAAAAGUCGUGUAAUAAAAUCCAAUGUCAUUA